CGAUUCGGUCGAAAAAUUUCGCCUAGUGGAAAACCGCCUUUAGUUAUUGUGUUAUGCCAGUCAGAUACUCUUCGUUUUUAAUUAAACAAGUAAUAAUUGUCCAGAAAAUCAUAUCCAAAUCCGAAAAUCUUUAAUUUAAAAAAGUGUAGGGACAUUCUAAAGCGCUGUACAAUAAUAUAUAAGAAAUAUAAAAUUUUAAGAUAGGUAUAAUACUAUAUAUAAAAACUACAAGGAAGUGCUAAAAGCUUUCCUAACCUUCCUAACUCACCAAUGAGACCGCUGUUAUUUGUCGAACGGGCUCAAAAAAGGUAAAUAUAACACCUUGUUACUGUUUGAUACGGCCAUAGUGGAAGUCAUGUUUACUUGACAACUUUAGCGUGAUUAAAUAAAGCUUACUCAACCUAGACCUAGGCCUUUACUCGGUUGGCUUUGGCAGAUUCGGUCAAUUUCGGGGCUAGCAUUUGGUAAGUAUCGCCAUGAAAGCUUAAGCCAGUUUUCCACUUCAAGAGGGUCCUGAAGGGGUAAAAUGGGAACUGGGAUUGAUCUAUUUUUAGACUGGGAAAAUAGGAUUUGGGUUGCUGGGACUGGGAUUUGGUCACUGGGAAUGGGAAAUGAAGUCCUCAAAAAUGGGAAUGGGAUUGAUGUAAUGCGAGUCGAUUCUCAAUUUUUCCACGUUGUAAGUAUUUUAAAAUACAAUUUUGAUCCGUUUUUGGUGUCUUUGGUCAUGAUUUUUGUUGUUAACUAUAUUAUUCACAGCACUACCUGCGAACAGGCAUACUCUGGAGCCCGGAAUUCUGCGUUUUCUGAUUAUGCGUGUCC